GCUGCCGCUAAUGGAGUUGGACUCAUGAGUGAGGGAGUAAGUGCCUGUGAAUGACAUCAUUAUGCGACAUCAUAGGACAGUUUUUUCUUUCUUUUAUUCACUCGUCUUUCUUUUAUUUCAACUGAUGAUAUCAGGUGGCUUCUUCAAAUGAAUUUUUAAGUAUCUCGAUGAUGAUGAAGAACAAAGACAUCAAUCAGGAUUCAGGAAGACAGCUUUUGCGGAAAAUGCUUAAAAGGAAGCAUCAAGGAUUGGUGUUGAUAUUUGAAAGUUUAAGAGUGGUAUACUUUUAUUCAGUCAACACAUGCCAAAUGUAAAAGGCACUCAUUUGUUGUUCCUGGAAGAAGCCUGGCAGCAUUCCAUUCAGACAUCUGCCCUUUCAUCGUCCCACUUUUUACUUAUUGCAGUCCUUUCAGUCUGAAUAUUUCCUCCUGACGCAUCUUCUGCCGUCCGAAAUGACUCCCUGCUCCCGGAUCCUGUAGCCCUUAUUAUUGACACCUUUCAUUUAGAAAUUUAGCACAUGUCACAUUACACCAUUAUUGAAUAAAUAAAUAAAUGAAUAAAUAAAUAAAGAUGUAUGUCCUUCCCAAGUAUAUCAGAGAACUAUCUGGACAAUUUCUUUCUUUCCCAAUUCUCAGAAUCAGCAGUAUUCUGUCAAGAAACAUUUAUCGACGAUGAUGGCAAUAGUCGAUUAAAAUCAGAUGAAGUUUUAUUUUUAAAAAAAGGUUGAGCGGAGAGACAAGGCUGAAGGUUUGGAAGUUGAGACAACCAUCUUCAAUAAACGUUUUCUCAUCUAAGGGCUGUAUGUACAUCAUUUUGGGGAAGGUAGAGAUUGAGGGAGGAAGAACAUCACUGGAGGAAGAGACAGCAGUUUGUCUUUCGAGUUUCAAUAAAGUUUCAAAAAUCCUG
rnacentral:lncRNA from 1 species